UACGUAGGGUGCAAGCGUUGUUCGGAAUUACUGGGCGUAAAGGGCGUGUAGGCGGUCUUCUAAGUCAGACGUGAAAUCCCCCGGCUUAACCUGGGAACUGCGUCUGAUACUGGGAGGCUUGAGUAUGGGAGAGGGAUGUAGAAUUCCAGGUGUAGCGGUGAAAUGCGUAGAUAUCUGGAGGAAUACCGGUGGCGAAGGCGGCAUCCUGGACCAUUACUGACGCUUAAGCGCGAAAGCUAGGGGAGCAAACGGG
rnacentral:rRNA from 1 species